AUGGAUGUAGUUCAGUGGUUGAGCAUUUGCCUGGCGUUCAUAAGGCCCUAGGUUCAAUUCCCAGUAUCUGGG
rnacentral:tRNA from 1 species